GACGAACGCUGGCGGCGUGCUUAACACAUGCAAGUCGGACGGAAAGGCCCUGCUUUUGUGGGGUGCUCGAGUGGCGAACGGGUGAGUAACACGUGAGUAACCUGCCCUUGACUUUGGGAUAACUUCAGGAAACUGGGGCUACUACCGGAUAGGAGCUCCUGCUGCAUGGUGGGGGUUGGAAAGUUUCGGCGGUUGGGGAUGGACUCGCGGCUUAUCAGCUUGUUGGUGGGGUAGUGGCUUACCAAGGCUUUGACGGGUAGCCGGCCUGAGAGGGUGACCGGCCACAUUGGGACUGAGAUACGGCCCAGUCUCCUACGGGAGGCAGCAGUGGGGAAUAUUGCACAAUGGGCGGAAGCCUGAUGCAGCAACGCCGCGUGCGGGAUGACGGCCUUCGUGUUGUAAACCGCUUUCGCCUGUGACGAAGCGUGAGUGACGGUAAUGGGUAAAGAAGCACCGGCUAACUACGUG
rnacentral:rRNA from 1 species